GGGCAAAUGAUGAUAUAGAUAUAAAACAACCAUUUUUAAGACUUGUCUAUGAAGUAUCAUAGUCGAGCUUUUUAAAAUUGAUGCUCA